CUGAUGCAGCGAUGCCGCGUGAGUGAAGAAGGCCUUUGGGUUGUAAAGCUCUUUCGUCGGGGAAGAAAAUGACUGUACCCGAAUAAGAAGGUCCGGCUAACUUCGUGCCAGCAGCCGCGGUAAUACGAAGGGACCUAGCGUAGUUCGGAAUUACUGGGCUUAAAGAGUUCGUAGGUGGUUGAAAAAGUUAGUGGUGAAAUCCCAGAGCUUAACUCUGGAACUGCCAUCAAAACUUUUCAGCUAGAGUAUGAUAGAGGAAAGCAGAAUUUCUAGUGUAGAGGUGAAAUUCGUAGAUAUUAGAAAGAUUACCAAUUGCUAAGGCAGCUUUCUGGAUCAUUACUGACACUGAGGAACGAAAGCAUGGGUAGCGAAGAGGUUUAGAUACCCUCGUAGUCCAUGCCGUAAACGAUGUGUGUUAGACGUUGGAAAUUUAUUUUCAGUGUCGCAGGGAAACCGAUAAACACACCGCCUGGGGAGUACGACCGCAAGGUUAAAACUCAAA
rnacentral:rRNA from 1 species